AUAACUUUCUUAGCCUUUUGGCUAAGAUCAAGUGUAAUAUAUGUUCUUAAUAAUUGAAUAUCUGAUACGUUGACCAUGUUACUAUUUUGAUAUUAAAAUUAUUUUUUUCUAAGAGAAUGCCCAUCGUAGUGGCUUGCCACUGGAUCCUCGUUUCUCACCUAGGUAUUGCACUAUGGCUUAGGCCUAAAAAUGGGGU